AUUGAACGCUGGCGGCAGGCCUAACACAUGCAAGUCGAGCGAGCGGCGGACGGGUGAGUAAUGUAUGGGGACUGCCCGAUAGAGGGGGAUAACUACUGGAAACGGUGGCUAAUACCGCAUACUAUCGGAUAACCCAUAUGGGAUUAGCUAGUAGGUGGGGUAAAGGCUCACCUAGGCGACGAUCUCUAGCUGGUCUGAGAGGAUGAUUGGCCCAACUGGGCCUGAGCAACGGCCCAGACUCCUACGGAGGAAGCAGUGGGGAAUAUUGGACAAUGGGGGCAGGCCUGAUGCACCCAUGCGGCGUGUAUGAAGAAGGCCUUAGGGUUUAAAAGUACUUUCAGCGGGGAGGCGUUACCCUCAGAGGAAGCACCGGCUAACUCCGUGCCAGCAGCCGCGGUAAUAC
rnacentral:rRNA from 1 species